UAUUUGUCUUCUACAACAGAGGACUUCGUUAUCGACAUGUUGUGGAUAGUGGCGCAAAUCUGACUGGGUCACCCCGCUAUGGUAACUGAGUAGACCAUACAGCCAGCAACUCGACGCCGAGUGUCAGGCAGCGGUAAAUAACCAGACUCUCUAAGGGGACCAACGGCUUCAGGCGGAGAAGCCCCUUUAGGUGGGGUGCUGGUCCCCUCAGUGGAGGAUAUGCCACUGAAAUCCAUCAUCUAGCGUCUGUUCUCCAGGUUAGGGGCGGCUGCAAAAGGCGUCUGUUCCCCAAGUUAGGGGCAGCCUAAAACAAGCCUUAAGGAAAGCAAUGGGAAACUACCUCAAGAUUUUCUUUCCCAAGAAAACCCAUCAUGGAUUUGAAUUCUGAUGGGUCACCAACUUUAUACACUGAAAGCUGGACUGAUAAUGAUAAUCCAUUUAAUUGCUAUGUGGUUCCCAUUUACUGUCACCUCUCUUCACAGAAAAAUACCUAAAGUAGCAAUAAAAGUAAAGUGUGGGUACAUAUGUUUUGCUGCAAAGUGGUUGGGUUACUUUCCAAUUCCAUUCAGUAGAUCAUCAGCCCGACAAUAAUGAAGAAAAUGAAAACUAAGACAGAGCAGAAAACAAACAAUUAUGUAUCUCGUUAUGGUUAUAAUUAUAAUACAAGGUGAGAAUUUCAUUGCACACCCAGAUGACCUCAGGACACCGUUUGCGCAUCACUGGUUCAAGUGACGCAGUUAACUACUGUUGGAUGUAGGUUUCAUGUCAGUUUUCUGAGCCUUUGCUUGGACUUUAGUAGAUCUAGGCCAGACAUAUCAUUUAGUUAUCAUAGAGAUAAUAGUGGUGAAGUAAUGAGUUACACUGACAAAGAUAAAAUUGUUAAUAUGAAAUAAACCCAAAACAGAAAACAGUGAGUGUGCAGAAAGAGAUUAACACUUACUUAUGUGACUGACGUUGGGUUGAAUUCUCAACUGUAGACAGGAUGACAUCACCAUUUUUCAUGAUAUUCAAAAAAAAAAUACUGCAGUAGUAUCUUGUAGUAGGUCAUUAAACUUCCUUCCAUAUCCUUCUAAAUUCAUUAUUCACAAUCAUGUCAUCAUGAAGUUGAUAAAGGGAUAUUCAGUAAAUCAAGAAUGUAAGGGUGGCCAUACAUGCUACAAGUUACUGGAAGGCUUACGUCUGGGAAGGCAAACCGGAGCGUGGUUAAUUUUGCCAGAAGGUUUGGCCGGAAAUCGAGCCUCCGAUAAAUCUGCAGUCGCUUUAUUUUUUUACCUGGAGGUUUACACAGAUGUUUACAAGUCGUAACAUGUGUGGGCAAAGACAAAGGUAGAGGUAAGACUUGUAGCAUUUAGUCAUCUCAGUCAGCACAGCACUAUACAGAAUUGUUUGUUUUGUGAUUAACAUUAUUGGCGUGAUGGAUGAUUUGAGAUCCUGGCCUCAUGAAUUCAUCUCCGAAUUCAUUGAGUUUUACAGGUCUCUGCCUUGUUUGUACAACAUAAAAAGCAAGCAGUACUCAAGCAAACAAUUGAUAAACUGCAUGUUUAAGCUUGUUGGAAAAAUGCAAAAAAUGGAUUGUAUUGCAACAAAGGAUACCGUAGCAAAGAAUAUCAACAAUAUACGCAAUUCUUACAGAAAGAGCUUAAGAAAGUGGCACAGUGUAAAAAAAAAGCAGUGCAAGCUGAGAAGUAUAGGAACCAUCUCUUGGGUAUUUCCACAUGACCUGGAAAUCCCUAGAGGCAGCAUAUCCAACAUGCCGAUUGUUGAGAGUUGUACAGAAGAGGAGAAUGGGGUAAGCAUAAACAAAUCAUAUUGGUAGCAAACAAAUAUAUAUUUUCAGGCAACUUAUUAUAACAUGUAGCUAUCCAGAUUAAAAACCCCAAUUUUCAAUGGGGACACUUUUCUCGCUGCAAAAGUCAAUUGUUUUUAAAAUAUUCCAGAAAUAACUCUCGCACUUGUUUACCUUAUUUACUGCUGUAUCUAUUAUGUCCUCUGUGUCUUAACUACUUGAAUUUGCUUAAUCAUUAUCAUUACUGAGAAAGUCGCAGUAAGAACUGGGGUAUUUUUUGCGUAAAAAGUUAUGCACGGCUCAAACACUCAUGGAUUCAGCAUUAUCUAAUGAUACCCCAAGUGCUGUAUGAAACACUCGAAACCAGUUGGCCAGGAUUCCAAUUACAUUUUCUAUAAUUCACCUAGCACUGCUUAACUGAAAUGUAAGCAGUCAUGCUUCUACUCCUUUUCACUGUACGAUUUCAAAAAAUAUUUUCAUCACCAAUGAAAACGUAUGGAGGAAGAUUGUUGUUGUUUUCAGGUGGUAAUUUCAAUUUACCUUCCACUAAUGCUUUGUAAAAUGUUGUAUUGUUGAUAACAUCACCAUCUGAAAUGCUUCCGUUAGUUCCAACAUCAAAUAAUAUUAACUCAUAAUUGCUAUUAGUGACUACCAUCAGAACUACAUUGUGAAAUCCUUUGUAAUUCCAAAAAUAUGACCCACUUCCAGGUGGGAGAACAAUUCAAAUGUGUUUCCCAUCGUCUGUGCCGACAGAUUGGAAAUUGUAGUCUUUUCUCAAAUUACAACCCAAAUUCUUUCCAUUCAUUCUCCGAUUCAGGAAACUGUAAAAGAAAAGUGUAUUAGAUGUAUAUUCUGUUGGAUUUUGUUUCAUAAAAGAAAAGUUCAUUAACAUGUAUAUUUCAGGAAGAAAUCGAAAGCAACAAUGCAGCUGCAUCGCAGCCGCUGUCACGCCUAUUUCAUUAGGUAGCAGCACAUUGUCUAGAGAUGGCAGAAAGAGGAAGAUUCAGCAUACCAAUAAGCAGGACAUGGUACUGAACUUGGUAGCAGAGAGGCUGCAGAGUCGGCCAGCAUACUCCAACUACGGUGCACAUAUUGCUGAAGAACUUUCAGCAUUUUACACCGAAUGAAUGAAUACCUUCCAGCACCCACAUCUAACACUGCCUUGCAGAACUAAUAUUUCAAUAAAUAUUUUUGUUCUAUAAUUGCAGAUAUUUGAAUAAAUAUUUAUGACUUA